rnacentral:rRNA from 1 species
AACGAACGCUGGCGGCAUGCCUAACACAUGCAAGUCGAACGAGACCUCCGGGCCUAUUUGCGCACGGGUACGUAACGCGUGGGAACCUGCCCUUAGGUUCGGAAUCACUCCCCGAAAGGGGUGCUAAUACCGGAUAAUGUCUUCGGACCAAGGAUUUAUCGCCGUUGGAUGGGCCCGCGUUGGUUUAGCUAGUUGGUAGGGUAAAAGCCUACCAAGGCGACGAUCCAUAGCUGGUCUGAGAGGAUGCCCAGCCACACUGGGACUGAGACACGGCCCAGACUCCUACGGGGGGCAGCAGUGGGGAAUAUUGGGCGAGGAGCGAAAGCCUGAUCCAGCAAUGCCGCGUGAGUGAUGCAGGCCUUAGGGUUGUAAAUCUCUUUUACCCGGGAUGAUAAUGACAGUACCGGGAGAAUAAGCUCCGGCUAACUCCGUG